UGUUUCCCUCCCUUAGCUAAAAUUUUAGGUUACUCUCCCUCCCAAAUUGCUCUCGGCCUCCGACUCAAUAAAAUUUUAGGUCACUCUCCCUGCUCCCAAAUUGCUCUCGGCCUCCCUCAAUACCGCUCCGCAGCCACCCCAACCCGAAUCCAAACCACAAGGCUUGGAGCCGCGACGCCCUCACCACGCUCAAGCUCAUCUGCAACCUCGGCAGCGUUAUCCUAAUUAACUCUCUGCUCCGCCGCGUUAUCCUAAUUACCUCUCUGCUCCGCCCUCUUUCGUCUUUCAAUUCUUUGAGCCCAUAACUCCAUCUCGAUCUGAUACCCCGAUGAUUACUCAGAUCUCCUCCUCGUCUCCACUUUCCAUCACCUCCUUGAGCUAUUUUCCUCUCUAGAUAUACCAAAUUCAACAGAAUACAAUGUUAGGAAUUGGAUCUAACUAGUGGAACCCCAACUGGUCCAACCGGCCUCCACACUUUGUUCUUUGUUUCUGGGUUUGCAGAUUCCGGGUUCUUCCUGCUCUCUCUCCGUCUCUUUUGAUUUUUAUUUCUUUUUAGAGUCUCUGAAAGGUUUUCCAAAAAGUUACAAUCUUUUCUUUUCUUUUCUUGUGUUUCAGCAUCUGCUUUGAGAGAGAGAAAGAGAAUCAAGAGCCAAUCGAUUCAGAGGAGUAAAGCCCAGGAAGUCGAUUCUCCGCGAUCGCCGGAGCAGAUAAAGAAAACGCAUCAGAUUUACAGGUUUCUGCAGAAAAACUUGGUCAGGGUGGUUCUACAACAGUCGAAGCAAAAAGCUUUAAUCGUAGGAAGCAGUUAUCUCCAGUUGUAUUUUACGGGUCUCCACAUGGUGUACCUCCAAAGCAACCAUCAAGGUUGUUGCUGCGAGUGUUACGUGAGAUACGUGUUGAUCUCACUGCACAGAAACGAUUAAGCUCAAGGAAGGAAGUAUGGGCUACAUUUCCAAGGCAGGAGGAAGCAAUGCAGUUUGCCAAACGGCACGAGAAUGUUCACGUUUUUAGUUAUCAAGAUCACUUUAGUGGACAAAGAAGGUUCCUUGUUUCAAGUUAUGAUGAGUUUUGGAGAAGGUACAAAAUUAUGGAGUCCAAGUUUCGUCACCAUUACGAAGUCAUUCAGGAGGUGACAAUUUUUCUUUCUUUUCAUUGAUAAAAGAAAGUGAUUUACCAUGCCACCUUUAUUUUGACCUGGAGUUCAAUAAGAAAGACAAUGGAAACAGAAAGGUGGAUUCGGCUGUAGUGCUGCCAGUUCUUCUGCCAGCAAGGUGGAUUCGGCUCUUUUUAGGUAGGGGGUUCAUGAUAGGAGUGAACAGUUGCCAUAAAGGCGACAAAGUAAGCUACUGGUGUCGUAUUGAAAUCAAAUAAUUAAAUUCUGAAGCUACUCUCAACUCAGACACAGGUUAUAUCUACCUUUUCUCUGAUUAGGUUGAAGAGAUACUUGGAAAUGAGGCGUGUUGAUGGAGGACUGACCUUGGACAAGCUUAUAUGCUUUGCUUGCAUUUCCGACAUGUUGGAGGUUUGGAACAAUUCAGCUAAGAGUAAUGGGUGACUUUCUGUAAUUGAGGCUUGCAUGAGCAAAGCUUUCUGCUCUAAAAAAGGACUGCACACAGGACUCCAUCCACUCCAAACAAAAAAGCUUAUGUCUCAUAUUUGAUCUUAAUGAAGCUUGGAAAAGGGAUAUAUACGUGGUAUCAAGUGGUCAACAAACCAAGAGAGGCCAACACCUUAUGAAAAGAAUAUCUAAAAGCAUCAAAAGAGCAUUUUACCUACAACCGGUUUUUAUAAAAUUCUUCAAUGUAGACCCUCUUUGAGUCUCUGUAGCUGGAGACCCAAAUGCAAGACACACCUAAAGAAUAGUUUAUUUAUUGCUUGAGUAAAAAAGUGAGAGUGCAUUGGUCUAAGCAGAACAGUUCUGUUGCAAUCAGAAAAACUUUUGGAAAGUUUGAUGAUGUACUUGAAUCUGGUUGUCAUUGUUUGCCUUUGUUGUUGAGGUAGUGCAGUAGCAGCUCAUGUCUUUCUACAACUACAGCAAUUCAAUGUUCAGUGAUACACAGACUUGGAAGCUUAAGAGAUUGUGCUCCAAGGGGCCAAACCAUAAUCUGCAUCAAUGUUCAAUCAGAUUGGUCGAACUUCAGAAUAACAACGGCACAAGACCACUAAUUUUCAAGCAAGCCAACAUCCAUCAAAUAGUUCUCAUUAUUGUCUUUCAUCUAUUGCUUUUAUUAAACAAUACAUACAACUUUUGAUUUGAAGUUAUUGAUUCCGGUCGGAAAUUCGUGUAACAUGUUUUAAUCUGUAAAUUUCAACAAAAAUAUUCUGCUUUGUAAUGUUAUCACAGUAACAUAUAACAGUAUUUCCCGCAGCUAAGCGCGGGCACUCUUCCUAGUGUAUGAAACAGAUGGCAGUAAUCUAUGACAAUGUGGUAUUUUGGA